UUUUUUCUUUUUUUCCUUAUAGAACUUUUGCCUAUGAAUUACAGUUUUUAGUGUUUUUAUAGGAUUUUUUUGUGUGUUAAUAUGUGAGUCUCUCUGUGAAGACAGCUUUUUUUCUCCUGGUAGUUUUGUUUGUUUCAUCCUAUUCCAGUUUGUCUGAGGCGGCUGUUGUUUAUCAUUAUGUUGUUAUUGUUGUUAUUGCAAUUAUUAUUUUGGUGCCUGUUUGUAUUCCAAUGACACAGAGAUAGGGUGAGUAGGGAGUAGAGAAGGACCUGAGAGGAGUUGGGGGAGGAGAAACUGUGAUUGUAUGAAAACCAAAAAUCUAUUUUCAAUUUUAAAAAAUUCUUAAAGAGAUAUUGUACAAAUCAAAACAACUAUGGGGUAUAUACACCAAUCAAAAGCACUUGUGAAUGUGUUCUUUUCUUUUGUCUGUUAUGUGUCCACAUGUGUAUGCACAUUUGUUAAUACUAGAUGUGCAGGUGCAAGAGGGGGAGGGAAAGGGGGGAGAAUACAGAGAAGCCAAAGGUCAAUGUUGGGUGCCUUCCCCUGUUACUCAUCACCUUGCUUUUCUGAAGAAGGAAAGGGGUCUUCCACUGAGCCUAGAGCAGCCCACAGGAAUCUGCUCAUCUCUACCACCACCUUGGCCAGCCGCACUCCCAGAGCUGGGCAUACCCUCUACCGCCACCUUGGCCAGCCGCACUCCCAGAGCGGGCAUACCCUCUACCGCCACCUUGGCCAGCCGCACUCCCAGACCGGGCAUACCCUCUACCGCCACCUUGGCCAGCCGCACUCCCA
rnacentral:lncRNA from 1 species